ACUCCUACGGGUGGCUGCAGUGGGGAAUAUUGCACAAUGGGCGCAAGCCUGAUGCAGCGACGCCGCGUGGGGGAUGACGGCCUUCGGGUUGUAAACUCCUUUCGCCAGGGACGAAGCGUUUUGUGACGGUACCUGGAGAAGAAGCACCGGCUAACUACGUGCCAGCAGCCGCGGUAAUACGUAGGGUGCAAGCGUUGUCCGGAAUUACUGGGCGUAAAGAGCUCGUAGGUGGUUUGUCACGUCGUCUGUGAAAUUCCACAGCUUAACUGUGGGCGUGCAGGCGAUACGGGCUGACUUGAGUACUGUAGGGGUAACUGGAAUUCCUGGUGUAGCGGUGAAAUGCGCAGAUAUCAGGAGGAACACCGAUGGCGAAGGCAGGUUACUGGGCAGUUACUGACGCUGAGGAGCGAAAGCAUGGGUAGCAAACAGGAUUAGAUACCCUGGUAGUCCAUGCCGUAAACGGUGGCGCUAGGUGUAGGGGCCUUUUGAGUUUCUGUGCCGUAGCUAACGCAUUAAGCGCCCCGCCUGGGGAGUACGGCCGCAAGGCUAAAACUCAAAGGAAUUGACGGGGGCCCGCACAAGCGGCGGAGCAUGUGGAUUAAUUCGAUGCAACGCGAAGAACCUUACCUGGGCUUGACAUACACCGGAUCGCUGCAGAGAUGUAGUUUCCCUUGUGGCUGGUGUACAGGUGUUGCAUGGCUGUCGUCAGCUCGUG
rnacentral:rRNA from 1 species